CAGGUCCACUCUCCACUCUCAAUUAACGAUCAUAUAAGUUUUCAGUGGUUAUCAUAAUAAUAAAUACUUAGCUCUAACUUAAAAUUAUAGAGAAAAAAAACUCUUUAAUCCUAAGAUUUUACCGCAGCCCACCUACUAGAAUGCAUUUAGAAAUGCGGUGCAAAUCACGUUUUUAAAAAAUUUAAAUUGUUUUUAUUAAAAUUUAAUAUAUAUCAUGUCAAAAAUAAUUUUUAAAAAUAAAAAAAAUUAUUAAUAUACAUUUUAGUAUAAAAAAUUAAUUAAAAAACAGCAACUUCCGCGUUGCUAACUAAGCACGUUUUCAAACGCGUCUUUUUGAAACGGUGUUCAGAGGUUAACAAAAGCACUUUCUGUAAGAAGUAAUUUUUUCAAAAAUCAUAUCCAACGCACUUUGCUAGUUCGCUUUCUUUGCCUAUAUUAACACCAUCUAGAAAGCCAUCGUCUUCAACUUGCUCCUGUCUAUGGUGUGUAAUAGAUGAGAGAAACGGAGAGUCCUAGCAAGUCUUUGGAGAUGGGAGAGUAUGCAAGAAGAAAAAAUUCAUGAUUUAAUAUUCCUUCUUGCCUACUCCUCCCAUUCCAUCUGCUUUCUGCGACUCCUCUCUUUCCUUAUUCUAGACAAAAGCGUGAUCUAAAAUUAAUCAAGGAGCAAGAGGGAAAGGAAAGAGGGUUGCUGGGAGUUACGGGUAUGGGAGGAUUGGACAGUGCUGCUUGGUUUUAAUUAACCAAAGUCUGUUCUUUCCAACGCCUCCCAUACCGGUGAUCUCCAGCUUUUUCCUCCCUUUCCCUUGCUUGUCCUGCUUCAGAUCCUUCAGUUCGGUAAGAUCUGUCCUUGUAUGCUUGUCGUUGGUCACAUGAUGAUGUUGGUGAUGCGUGUUCUUCUUUUGUUUUUAAAAAAGAACAUCAUUUCGUUGACUUGUUAAUCUUGCUUUUACGCGGGAUAUUGUUACAUGUCUUGUAUGAUGAUUUUUAUUAGCCCUUUUUUUAUGCUCAGGUGACAAGCGAGUUGUUGGUUAUGGAGUAUCGUUGAAAAGAUUAGAGGAAGUUUUGAUCUGUUGGUAGAUCUGAGUAAAUCAUUUGUCAAUCCAGCUAGAUUUAAUAUUAGCAACUGAUAAAUCAUGUGUUUUGAAAUGACAACUGUGAUAUUCACAACAUAUCUGUUCGCGCCUCUUCGAUUCCGGGGAUGCUGUCUCAGUUGGCUCUAUACUGCAGUGCGUAAUUAGCUCUGAUGUUCCUUGAUUUGUUCUUUGAAUUUGGAAUUUAUUUUGAGCAUCUGUCCACGCGUUUCUUCUAUUAUGGAUGACCCCAACAUGAUUCAUACGAUGGGUGGAUGAAAUCAUGCAUAUCGGGUGUGGUCAGCUUUGUUU
rnacentral:sRNA from 1 species